CCUACGGGAGGCAGCAGUGAGGAAUUUUCCGCAAUGGGCGAAAGCCUGACGGAGCAAUACCGCGUGAGGGAUGAAGGAUUUUGGUCUGUAAACCUCUUUUCUCAAGAAAGAAGUUCUGACGGUACUUGAGGAAUAAGCAUCGGCUAACUCCGUGCCAGCAGCCGCGGUAAUACGGGGGAUGCAAGCGUUAUCCGGAAUGAUUGGGCGUAAAGCGCCUGUAGGUUGUUUAUUAAGUCCGUUGUUAAAGCCUAGGGCUCAACCCUAGAAAAGCAAUGGAAACUAGUAGACUAGAGUAUGGCAGGGGUAGAGGGAAUUUCUAGUGUAGCGGUGAAAUGCGUAGAUAUUAGAAAGAACACCGGUGGCGAAAGCGCUCUACUGGACCAUUACUGACACUCAGAGGCGAAAGCUAGGGUAGCAAAAGGGAUUAGAUACCCCUGUAGUCCUAGCCGUAAACGAAUGGACACUAGAUGUUGUGCAUUAUGUACAGUAUCGUAGCUAAACGCGUUAAGUAAUCCCGCCUGGGGAGUACGCUCGCAAGGGUGAAAACUUAAAGGAAAUUAGACGG
rnacentral:rRNA from 1 species